GGUGGGGAGAUGCAGCAGGUUGAGGAUCCGAACAGCACAAUGUACUGGAGAACAACACGAUUAUUGCCCCCCUCCUCCACAAUCUCAGCUAGCCUGCCGCACUUAUUGACGAUACUCCGAAACGUAAACCCAUGACUUAUGAUGAAUUCAGAAGCCAGAACAGAGAGACCUAUGAGAUGGCUGUGACCCAAAGAGCAGACUUUCCUUCGAGAUCCUCACAAGACAAAGCAACUAGAAAAGAAGCAAAGACAAACAAGUAUGGAGACGUGUGGGAAGAUUAAAUGCACCUUGCAAGGAACUAUUGUCACUCCCCCCUCCCAAUUGAUUCUCGUCUUUCCCUGAAAAUGAAUAAACCAUUUAUUGACGCAAAUGUUGUCAGUAUAUCUGGUAUUAAAAAGGAUUAUUACAUUGUCAAUGUAAUGGCAGUUUAUUCUAUGAUCACAGACCAUGCAAUUAAUG